rnacentral:rRNA from 1 species
GAUCCUGGCUCAGGAUGAACGCUAGCGACAGGCUUAACACAUGCAAGUCGAGGGGCAGCAUGAACUUAGCUUGCUAAGUUUGAUGGCGACCGGCGCACGGGUGAGUAACGCGUAUGCAACUUGCCUAUCAGAGGGGGAGUAACCCGGCGAAAGUCGGACUAAUACCGCAUGAAGCAGGGAUCCCGCCAUGGGAAUAUUUGUCUAAAGAAUUCAUCGCUGAUAGAUAGG